rnacentral:lncRNA from 1 species
GGCAGCGUGGAAUGAGAUGUAUGUGUUCCUGGCCCCGCACCUUUGGAAGCCACUGGGAUGAGAUUCCAUAAAGCCAUCUCUAUUUUUAACCAUAAUUUGUGUACUUCAUGGCUGCCCUUGACCACUGGGGAAGGCUGUAAAUUAGCCCUGUGAAAGUCUCUGCUCUCUGCAGGCAGGAACCCUCCAACAACGGGCCAGGACAUUUUCCCUGCAAAGUCAACCGGAGAAACCACCAAACCAACCCCCAGUGGCUUUGGCUUGUGUCCCAAAAAGAAGGUGUCUUGAAGUCAUGGAAUAAGUUGCCCUCUGGAAAUGCAUCUCUCUGCUGGGUGUUCAGGGAGCUAAAAUGACUGCCUCAGACCUGAGGCUGCCUCUCAGGUGGAUAGAGUUAGGUAAAUUGCAGCUGGGCUUGACACAAUAAACCUUUAAGCUUGACCA